UAUUCCUCUCCAGCAAACUUUCCAAAAGGAUUCAUUGGUGAAGAUCAAAUUGCAAAAUCAAAGUCUUAGUCUACAGAAAUGGUGGUGUCUUUCAGCACAGAAAUUAAGUGAAAAGUGCAUUAGACAAAGAUACUGGAAGCUGCUGUCCAUUCUCCAAGAAACGGACCCUGCAAAGUCAGUAAUACUGAUAAACUUAUUGCUGAAUCAAUUCCCUAGUGAAGAUCCUUCGUUCCACCACUGUGAAAGCUGAUAUACUUAUUAAUGAAGGGAUAAAUGUGCCUUAUUCUCCUCCGUAUAUACUCACCUUGGUUGCUUCCAGUCCUUGAUGAACCUUUUCCUUUAAGACACUUUGGGAAGCAGCAGGAAUCUUCCUGCAAGAGAUGAGGAUUCAUGUCAGCAUGCCACUGCUGAGAGUUUACAGUACAUCUACACAGAUAAGCCUGUACUUCUGUUGUUUCCUUGUGGUCCCCAGGCUUUAAAGCUGAUCAUCAGCUAACUUCUAGGUACCCUGACUCAAGCUGAAGCUCCUGAGUGGUUGAAGUUGGCUCCUCACUGCUUACCUCUUGUCAUUUUCUGUGCCCUAUACAUUCUCCAUUCCACUCUGGAGCAGAUAUUUGAAUCUUUAUUUCCCAGAUGCCAGGGAGUGUCUUGGCUCUUACCAAAUAGGUUGGUAAUGCUUCAUGUCUGAUUCAGUGCCUCUUGCUAUUCAGAUGAGGUUGAAAUGCCCUAGCAGGAAGAGAGCCUGUCUCAGUCCAGGACAGCCAGUUAGCAGGUGCCUGGGGCGCUCAGCUGGCAAGCCUCCAUGCUCUGUGAAACUUUCAUGAGCAGAAGAGCUACACUGUUCAUGCUGUUUCCAUUACUCCAUGCACGGUCUAGAAAACAGUCCCACUGGGUUCAGAAACAUAGAAAUCAAAAUAAGAAAAUGUCUUUGCCUCUGAUAUAAUGGAGCAUUCAUCACUGCCCUGUAUCUAAAGAAACCAAUCCAUAAAAAUGGUUUGGAGAUGUUUUUCUGGAGUUCUGUCUGAAUCUCAGGACGUGUCCGUGUAACUCAGUUACUUGUCUGCUGACAGAGAGGACUAGGGCCUGGCUGCAAGCAAGCCAGGGCAGUGGGGAUGCCAAGGGAGCUUGGGCUGAAAACGAGCUCCAGGAUCGGACUAAGCAGGAUGCUCAUUCUAAUACAGUGCCACAGAGAACAGCGAUGUCUUCAAGCACCCAAAUCUACCGUUUGCAUGGCUAAAGAAGUGUUUCUGACUGGGAGUUUUCAGAUGGAACCUUUCAUAUUUCACCGUUAUAGAAAGAAAUCUCUUCACCUUUUCCAAUUAAAAAUAAAUCGUGCUGAUGCGGUGUUUCAUUUGAGAAGUGUUUUUUUUCCUCCCUCAAACAACGCAGCCAGCAAUACUCGGAGACUAACAGCACUUGUGCUUGUCAAGCGAAAUAAAGAAAAUGCAAACUGCUGUGUUACAGAGGCUAGAAGUUUUCUUAGAGGCUAACCUCAAAGACUGGUAGAUUCAUCCUGCAAAAAGAACUGCAUGAAAGCUGGACCAGGUCACUUCUUGCAUGCUGAGGAAGCAAGACCUGCCAGCCUCAAACAACACCCUCUUUCUUCGCAUUAGAAAUGGAAACACGUCCUCUGCAGGAAUUUUCCACUUAAUAGCUCCUGCUUUCCUACCGGGGGCCUCAGUGCACCACCACUGCAAUGCCGUAUUUCUUUCCACUGCAGUUUGACAUUUUGCAGCCAGAACAACGAACGGCAUUCACUCCAUCCUGAUUUGUGAAAAACAUAUCUCUAUAGGCACACAGAGCGCACCCAGUGCAGCCAUCACCAGGGGGAAAUGGCGAAGGUAUUUAAACAUCAUUACAUGUCACUAAGGAUAUGACAUUGUCUAGGAAGAAUGAUCUUUUAUACAGUUGCUUUUCCUUACUCCCCCGUUCCUCCCCCCUUCAACCCUUUAUACACACACAGACGCAGACACCAAAGCCUCUGUCCUGCCCUCCCAUUACCAGCCACCUUCAUGUUCUACACUCGAUUGUAAUUGUUUGCCUUUGUGAAUUAUUUCCAUUGCAUAAUAUUUGGAAACUGUGGAUCAGGUCCUGACACUGUGAGGAGAAGAAAUGCAGAUUGCAGAUAACCCAAGCAGUAAACAAGGAGCCUGCUUUAAAAUGCACGGAGUGACCUGUCUGAAAGCAGCAAUAUUUGCAAACUGUUUACUGCGGAGAUGCAAUGAUGUCGUCUGAACUGCAGCAGCCUGAAGAUUGGAGCAAAAUGGGAACUCAGGCACUCGGUCAAGCACAACCCAUAAUUUUUUUUUUGUUCUUUGCAUUGUGCUGCUUUUGAAGUUAGGGCUGCAUUAUAAAUUAUUAAA